UUCCAGACUCCUACGGGAGGCAGCAGUGAGGAAUAUUGGUCAAUGGGCGGGAGCCUGAACCAGCCAAGCCGCGUGAAGGAAGAAGGCGCCAGGCGUCGUAAACUUCUUUUGUCGGGGAGCAAAGAGGCCUCGUGAGGUCAAAAGCGAGAGUACCCGAAGAAAAAGCAUCGGCUAACUCCGUGCCAGCAGCCGCGGUAAUACGGAGGAUGCGAGCGUUAUCCGGAUUUAUUGGGUUUAAAGGGUGCGUAGGCGGGACGGUAAGUCAGCGGUAAAAAUGCGGAGCUCAACCCCGUCGAGCCGUUGAAACUGCCGUUCUUGAGUGAGCGAGAAGUAUGCGGAAUGCGUGGUGUAGCGGUGAAAUGCAUAGAUAUCACGCAGAACUCCGAUUGCGAAGGCAGCAUACCGGCGCUCAACUGACGCUGAAGCACGAAGGCGUGGGUAUCGAACAGGAUUAGAUACCCUGGUAAG
rnacentral:rRNA from 1 species